UUUUUUUUUUUUUUCCCCUUAUCUCAUUCAAGAGGUGGGCGUGUUUGUUUGCACAUCAAUUACUCUGUGAUGUAUUGGGUUACAAACACAGUAAAGGCAUGAAUGGAACGCUUGUGACCUCCCCUACAACGUGAUCAGGGAGAUUUCAUCGUCAUGAAGGUUGUAAGACCACAGCAGCAAAACGCAAGCUAGUCGAUUGCUUUUGUUUUGAAUGCAAGGUGGUACUAGACACAUUGUGAAUGGGAUAUCUCAGCGGUGAAAUGACGGAUUCGAAAAAUUCCUUCGCUGUUUGACGGUAGGAAAACAACGAUUUUGAUAUCGAGUCAGCUUUUUUCUCUUUUGCUUUUGUAAUAAUAUUAAAAAUGAGUUAUGAAAUAUAAUAUUUACGUGCAGUUCCGUGUUCCGCCGGCGGGACAAGAGGGGCGUAAAACUAUAGCAGCAGAUUAUUAACCAAGAGCGAUCCCAUUAGACCCUAAGCACUAGGAUACGUUAAACUAAAUAAUGAUGUCACACCAACACUUCUAAAUAAAAAGAUAAUAAUUCACAGCACAAUAACACCUUUAAAUAACAGCCUUCAAAGCAAAUAGUGGUUUCCACAAACACAAUCCCAAACGAUAAAACAAACCUUAAAUAACACACACAAAAAAAAUAAAACUAAUAAUCAGUGAUUUUCAUAGAACAGAAAACUUCAUGCAACCAAAAAAAUGCCUAAUGCUUAAACCCUCCAAUAGCCGCUAUUUUAGUUAAUACACAGGUGGAUACAGUGCAAGUGUGCAAUCAAAAGUUAACAGGCGUCUUAUAAUUAUAUAUUGUAAACACAUACACAAUUACAGUUAGGAUAAUCAGGACAAAGACGCUACUCUAAAAGUCUAAAAACAACCAAUAACACAGAACAAAAGUUUGUAUGCAGCGCUCAAAUAUAACAUCAAGAUUCACAGGAUCGUAAUUACCAACUCAGAGUACAAACAAUGCACAUUCUCUUUUGUAAUCAAUCCCAUACAAUUGUGACCGACGUCUAAGAGCACGGGGGAUACUUCACUGAAACCACUCCAAUAUGGAGCGGACCAAACUAUUCAAUAUGAAUAGUAGUAGUUUACCAUUAACUUCUAGCGCUUCAGCCAAUUCACCGCGCCUCAAUAUUACACUUGAAAAGUUACAAUCCUCACCAAACAGUAGUUCCCCGACCUGUGCUCUCAGCUCACAAAUCUCUCAAACCCGGUCGCUCUCGCACUGAUUAACCCUACCUGUUAUUAUACAGCUGACCCCAUUACGAAUUAGCACUGCAAUUAAUAUGGAGACCAAUAUCACACAAUAAAACUCAAUCUUAUUACAUUCAAAAAAGUAAACAAUACAUCCAUUGCACAUCCGUUACAUCUGCUCUUGACAAACUUUUAUGACAAGGUCUAACUGGCUGGAACAGAUUACAUGAGACUACAUGCAUACUGUUUUCAUAAAAUAUGCUGUGUUCAGAAGGUUGGGUAACCUGUAUUUAUUUAAAAUAGUUCCUAGAAUUUGAUGGAGUUUAUAUACAGCAAAGUGUGAUCCUUAAUCAUGUGCCUCACAUGUGCUUCUCUGUGUACAAGAUGAAUCCAUUUUAGAUGAGCAGGCAGCCUUUACAAUACAGUUGGCAAGAGAUUUCUUUCUGACAGUACCCAGUGCAGAUCUCCUGGCACAGCAGGGGAACUAGGUUACCCUAUCAAUAUUAUUGAAAAAACUGCUGACAAGACUUACCAUGCCCAUUGUCAGGCAUGACUGCUUCACACACAGUUAAACAGUGUAACAUAACCAGGUCCAUUGUGUGUCAAUGUAUAGACUUUUCAUCAUUUAGUCAUACUUCUAAAACACAGGAGCCCUUGACAUGUCUGAGUUAAUGAGCAGAUUUAUUUCUCAGCGACUGCCCUUGGUCAUAACACGUGGGUAGAUCCUCAAAGAACAUCAUAAAUACAUGUUCUCUUAAUCUCUGAACACUGCAUUGCUCCGCUCGAAAGAUACCAGCAAAAGUCAUUCAACAAUCUUUUUUUUUUUUAUCUUAUAUUCUGGUUACCGUUUCAGAUUCAUUUACCGUUUGUUUUGUAUUUCUUUUUAAAAAAAGCUUUGCAUGGAGAUGGCUUAUAGCAAACCACAUAGCAACACUGUAUUUGUAGCCUAAUUAAUCUUGUUUACGUUUGCUUACUUUUAAAGCAAAAAAAGUUCCCCAUGUUUAAAGCAGUUUGCAUGUUGUUUUUGUUCAACCUAUUUAUGGAUGUGUAAAUGCUUUUUCUAUAGAUGGUAGCAAAUCCGACUUUUUCACAUAUCCGCCUAUACCCCAGUCCACAGGAGGUCAGUUUUGCAACGUUGUACUGUACUAUAAAGUGAAUUACCCUACAUUUAUUAAUAAAGUCUUUAAGAGUCAAACAAAUACAUUUCAGGGGCUCAGCAAGAUCAAAUUACAUUAUUAUUAUUUGUUUAUUUAGCAUACUCCUUUAUCCAAGGUGACUUACAGAGACUAGGGUGUGUGAACUAUGCAUCAGCUGCAGAGUCACUUACAACAACAUCUCACCCGAAAGACAAAGCACAAGGAGGUUAAGUGACUUGCUUAUGGUCACACAGUGAGUGAGCCGGGAUUUGAACCGGGGACCUCCUGGUUACAAGUCCUUUUCUUUAACCACUUGACAAGAAUGCACACUCCAACAAAUCUGUUUCUACAGCACUUGCAAAACAUAUAGAAUACAGGAUAAGAAGUAAAGGGAAAGGCUUGUUAAAAGCUACAGUAUUAUUUAGUUGCUAAUCACGUUGACAUUAGUUAUUCCAUAGGAAACUAAUACAAUGUAAAUACCAUGAAUCCCUGUUUCAUCUCCAAUGCAGUGAUACAGUAUUAUCAAUAUUCACUUGAUACCUAUCAUUAAAAUAGCAUGUUCUGUGGCAUUAUAGGCAUACAACAACUCGGGCAGAUGUUCGGCCCACCGACGUUUCUUUUCUGAAAACAAUGUGCGAAGCAAGUCAUGUCAAUUUCAAUUGAAACAUUCACAUUGUCCGUUACCUUGUGGAUGGUAAGGUACUGUAUGGCUUUUCUUAACCCCAUAAAUACCACAUAAUUGCUCAAUCACAUGACCUUCAAAACUCCGACUUUGGUCAGAAUUAAUCUUAUUAGGAACACCAUAAUGACAGAACCACUCAUUAACUAAUACCUUAGCAACAGUAGUGGCCCUUUGAUCUCUAGUAGGCACAGCAAUAGUGAAUUUGGAAAACACAUUGGUCAUAACAAGAACAUUUUCACAGCCAUCAGAUGAACAUUCUAGCAAUGUAAAAUCGAUAGCCAAAAUAUCUAAAGGUUUUGAGGCCAACAGGUUUUCCAUGGGAGCUCGAACUUGUGGGUUGGCAGCUUUAGAAAUGACACAAUGGCUGCAGUGUUUACACAAUUGCUCUAUUUCUACUCUCAUACCGGGCCAGUAACAAUGGCUACUAAUCAAUGAUGUGGUCCUCUCUAUCUCUUGAUGGCCCAUCUGGUCAUGUAGUUGUUUUUUUACUUGUUCGUUAAGGGAAGCUGGUAAUAAGAGCUGCCGUUUCUCUCCUCCACAUGGUUCUUGUGAUAUUCGGUACAGGACCCCUUGAUGUUCUUGGAUUCUCUCUCUCUGUCCAAGUAACUUAAUGGUUCCUUUUGCUAAAGUUCUUCGUUCAGCAGCAUUGGGGACACUACCUAAUUGCCAAUGCCUAAGGAACCCAUAUAUUAUUGGGUCUUCCUUCUGAAGUACAGAUUUUCUUUAGUAUUUGCAGGAAAUGGAAAACUAGUUGAGCAGGUCGAUACUUCAGCCUCUCCUUCUUCUACAAAACCUACUUCAGGUACUCACAACUCUUUAAAACUGAUGGUAACUGGGGGGAAUGUGAAGUUACUUGAAAAACCUCUUGUAGCUCCUGAACAAAUGUACAGUCUUCAGAUGGCUGCUCAUAUUGCCGAGAAAGUCCAUCCGCAUUCCCAUUUUGCCUGCCAGAUCGGUAAAAGAGCAAGUUGAGAGGCCCACCGUUGUUCAACAGCCCCCAAGUUAGCAGUUUUUACAUAGCUCAACGGGUUAUUAUCAGUAAAGACUGUGAACUUGUUCCACAACAGGUAAUCGUUAAAUGUAUCUGUAAUUGCCCACUGCAAGGCCAACAGUUCCAGUUUCAUUGAUCUAUAAUUUAGCAUAUUCUUUUCUGUAAGGCGCAAACAUCUACUGGCAUAGGCAACUGGUCUUCUCUUGCCAUCUACAUCUUGGGAUAGUAUUGCUCAGAUUCGCCUCCAGGUUUUUUUUCCGGCUUAUCUCGGCUUCUCUCGGCCAUUGAGUGCUUUUCUCGUCUUUUUCUGGAGAAAAAACGACUAGGGACCUGUGUUGUCCGAUUUUUGCCCACACACCAGAUAAUUGUAAAUCAGCAUUUUAUAUGUGAAGUGUUCUAAAUAAAUGUACAUUCUGCAUGACAAAAAACACAAUUAUAUAUGAAGUUUAAAAAUUAUGCACAAAAUAGAUAUUCCCAUUAUUUUUUAUUUCCAUUUAGCUGCUGCUCGCUGGUGGGAGAGCCGUCUCCCUGUACGCUACUAGUUUCCAUAAAAGCGAAUUCUGCUUCCAUUCAUUUUUCUUGCUCUUGUUAAUAUGCAUUUUAAUUAACACAUUGAUUUAAUUAACACAUUUUUUUGAAAAUCACUUGCUACUAAAGCUCUCGUUACUAUACCACAAGUCUGAUACAAUAACACUGUUUUUUUGAAAAUCCUGCCAAACGCCAAAAGAUUUACAGAGAAAAAUAGAUUAAUCUCAGUUGCACAAGUAUUCAACCCCUUUGCUAAUGCAGCCCUAAAUCAGCAAGUGAUUUGUUUGAAAGGUCACAAAUUAGUGAAAUGGUUUCAGCCGUGUGUAUUCAAAGUGGUUUAACUUGUAGAUAAUUUCCCUCAGGUAUAUAAAGACUUUCAAGCUGCAACUCACAUAGUGAUCCAACAGAGCAACCAUGAAGACCAAGGAGCUUUCGAAACAAGUCAGGGAUAAAAUGGUAGAGAGACACAGAGCAGGAGAAGGGUACAAGAACAUUUCAAAGGUGCUGAUUAUCCCUCUCAGCCCAGUGAAGUCCAUCAUUAAGAAGUGGAAGAUGCAUCAUACCACCAGACACUACCCAGAUCAAGUCUCCCUCCCAAACUGAGCAUGUCAUUAUUUAUUCCCUACCCAGCAUUAAAUACGGCCCAAAGCCGUACGAAACGCAUUUCGGAACUGCUAAAGGAGUGCAUAGAUGAGCUUGAAAAAUAUGUCACAUCUACAACUUCCACAACAGUCAGCAAUCAGGUUCAACCGUCGCCAGCGAGUGUACCUUGCACCCUAUCUUCAGUUAAAGGUACAUUCCCUACCGUUGUUUGGUAGCAUUGUAAUAGAUUAAAUUAAAUAAGUGUCUACUAGUCCUGCACUGUACUCUAUGAGUAGUCUAAAAAAAAUAAAAAUAAGAACAUGCUGGACAAACAGAAACUGCUAUAUAAAACGUGUUUUGGGAUGUAAUUAGAUUUUAUUUUCCUUUUUAUUAGGAGAAGUAACUUGGUUUUUUCAGCCAUACGCCACUGUUGGUCCUCCAUCAUCUAAAAGGUGAAGGGAGGGGCUCCAUUUUUUAUAAAUCCAAAACAAACAUGGACACAUACAUUUUGCUGCUUAUCAAGAAAAUAUGAUGUCAUAGCUCCCACAAAGGCAGAAAGGGAGAUCUUAAAAACUUAAGGUCUCAGGGAACAAAAAGUAAUUUUUUUUGUUUGUUAGUUUUUUUUCACACACCCAACCCCCACCCCGUCUGUGUUUAAUGUUCCUUUUGUAUUUAACAGAAAAACAGUCUGUAGAGGAAUUUAAUGAGACACUAUGUAAAAAGUUUCCUGGUCUUAAAGACGCUGGGGGCUUUGAGCUGCUGAAGAUUAAAGGAACCCACUGUGAGCAGGCAGUUGGCACAAAUUCCAUACCCAAAUGAGGGCUUGUGACGGGGUGCCCAUCCCUUGUGAGUAUUUUAUUAUUUAUGUAUGUAUUCAUUUGUUAUUAUUAUUAUUAUUAUUAUUAUUAUUAUUGUAUUUGUGUGUGGACAGACGAAAGCCGUCCAAUGUUAUUGUUUAUUAAUAAAAAAAGCCGAUAUUAUUGUUAUUUGGAAAGGAUGGGGUUACUUCCUCAUCCUUAAAAUAUCUCGUGAGAAUGUGGCUGGAGCCUUAAUAAGGUAAUUGUUUGAUCAAUGGGUAGUUAAGACUCCAGCCACAGGAUAUAAAAGAGACCCACUCCAGGCUCAUGGGGAGAGAGCUAAGGGAGAGCUAAGUUAAGAGGUAAGUUAAGAGAAAGCGACGAUUGCUACCGGUGUCAGUAUUGCUGAAGGUACUUGUUUGUGUAAAAGAGAGUUAUUAUUUGUCUGUUUUGUUUUGACCCACGUGGCCUUUUCUUUUGUGUUGUGUUUAAAUCUUAAUUUUGUUAGUUUAUAAAUAUAUGGCUACGGCUGUUUUCAACCCCAUACCUUUUUGUUUUUGCACUUCUUCCUGGUCCGUGACAUCACUACACGCCUGCGCACUCCAACCACUCUGCCACAGGGCUACACUGCAAAUUACCUGAGUUCACCUGAUGCUGAAGUUAGAUAUGCAAUGAUAUCUGUUAGACCUCUGCAAAGGGACAUAAGCAUGUUUGCUGAACCAGUCCAGUGUAAUGUGAUGGAAGGCCCGUUGGUGAGCUGUAUCAACUGCAGUACUAAAGUACCCAUGUCAAAGAUCCGUGACCACCAAAAGGACUGUUCAUUGUAGGUAGAUUUUGACAAUUUAAAUGUGUGGUUAAUCAAAUCAGAUGAUCUCAGCGAUUACAGCAAUUGUGCUUAAUGGCCUUAGGCUUGUAUACACUUUUGUAAUUACCUUAAAAAUAUUAAGCUAAAAGCUUAUGAGAAUUAUUUGUAAUGAAUUAUUAGUUCAUGACUGUUAAGUACUUCUGUGUCAACACUGUAAUAUUUAUUUAUUUAUUUAUUUUUCUCCUCUUGAGAACUGAUCAACUGUCAAUCUCAGGUGUUCUGAAUGAGGUAAAACGUUGUCUUAAUUUCAGGUUGUGUGUUUAUGUGAAUGUUUAUUGUAUGAUGAGUACUUGGCUUAGUUACAGGAGCAAGGGUUUUUACAUAUUUCUUUCAUAAAUGUAUUGCAUGCUUUUUUUUAGUAAACUAAUUGGUUACUUUAAAGGUAUGUUGUCUGCACAAUUCUUGUAAAAUGUAUUGCAAUUUAGUUUUUUUUAGGCAAAUGCUAAAAUUUUAAAAUAUAUUUGAGAAUGCAAGCAAAGGGAACAUUGAGGAAGCCUCAAAAAUGACUGGAGAGCCAAAUGGGGCUGCUGAAAUUCUGCUUGAUGAAGCAGUCACCCUUACACAGGGUGACUUACAUUAUGUAGAAGUGAAUUGAACUUCUUCCCCUGCUCAUCAUACUGCAGUGCAAACAAAUGAAGAGUGGGGUUUAGCACCUAAUCCUGUUACAGCUGCAAAUCUUUUCUGCGAAAUGUAUACUCAAGAAAGGGAGAAAUGAUUAUCUGAAACCACUCCUUAACCUCCAUGACUCAGAAAGUAACCGCAGCAGAGCCAUACUGAUGUUCUACAAACAAAAACACAAAUAGCUGCACGUUUGCAAGGUGAUGUAGCUGUUGGAGAGGGUGUCAACAGGUUUUUUAUAAGUCAGGCAAUGAGCAGUCUCCAGAAUGGCUUUAACAUUGAUUUUGGAUGUGGAACAGGAGACACCACUUUACUUUUUGAAGGUCAAGACAAUCAUUUUGUUCUGACGGCCACAAAGUUUGAUCGAGUCGCAACUUUUCGUGAUUGCUGGACGAAUGAUAGAGGACCACCUUUUUGUGGUCUUAGUCCAGCUAUUGUACAUGGUCUUACGGUGGGGAUGAGUACACAGUACCAAUUACAACAGCCGGUUGCACUGAUGUUGAUAUCCAUGAUUUAGUCAUUAAGCUUCACAAAACCAAAUAAAAGACCUACUGAAUUCCUGGGUUGGCUGGGAGGUUCUACCUAAAACACUCUGUGUGGAACUUGAUGAUGACCUACAAAUGCCAGUAGCAGCUAUCUGCUUUAAUACCCUGCGACUUCCUAAGUAUUUGUCUUAAGAAUUGUUUCAAAGAGAUCUUGAUGCAGUCAUUGAUACCUCACACACUGGAUUAGGUCAGUUGUAACCUGUAAAGUGCAAUGUUUAUUGUUGAAUAAUGUCCUGUUGGUAGCAUUAUCCCAGCAUUGGUCCCAAAGGCUGCAGGGUCAUUUUUUUUUUUUUUU